ACCCCCUGAAAGACAGAAGAGGAAAACGAUAGAAGGAAACAUGCCCACAUGAAGAGGCUGUAGCAGACACAGUUUAUCACAACACCAAUGUAACAAGAGCAAGCAAAGUGUAAAACUAUGUGCCUCGAGGAGACAAAGCAGGGAGGAAAGCCCAGAAACGCACGGAGGGCUGAGAGGCUCCCGCCUCUGGGGGGCGAUGUGUUAAAGCCCCAUCAUACGGCACCGGCAGGGGGUGGGGGCAGAAUCUAGAAAUGGGAAAAGGAGUAAAGAGAUUGUGACAAAUAUUCAGUGUGGGAUUGUGGAUUUGAGGUACCAGCAAAAUAAGCAGGCAGGCCUGAGUAGAAUAGUCAUCGGAACAAAUUUUGCAUGAACAAUGAAAAAUAGUUGUAUUAGGUCAAAGGGGAGGUCUGAGUGACACCCAGAAGUAUAGGCAGGGCAGCACUCCCACUUCUGGGAACCCACAGGCUGUGGUGUAUAAAAAUUCAUAGCAUUUAACAUGCUGCGUUCCAUCAGACCGUAAAGCUAGUAUGGUUUCCCUUUCACCAGAAUAUUUUUUUCCAAGGGUGCCUACUAGAUAUUUCAGAUUCUUUAGCCUCAUGGCCUCUUCUUUCAAUGGAGACGUAUCAUUAACAAAAGAAAGGGUCAUGUGAUUGUUUUUUCCAGUGUGGAGUAAACAGAUACCUUAUCCUUUUCAGCAUAAGCCUCUGUACCAACGUCAUAGCACCAAGGACUCCAUCAAAAUUACAAUCUGUUCAACUCACUGCAGGGUAAGUGCGACUGGUAUUGAAAUCAUACUGCAGCCUCAGGCCAAGAGGAAUUAGAUGUUCUUAUUCUCUUUUAAAGCAUUUACAAAACAUCCAAAAGGUCUGAAAACUUACACAAUAGAUUUUGAUAGGGAUGAAAUCAUCUCUUAUGCAUGCCCCUCUUCUAAGAAAUUGGUUAAUCAUCAUGAUAACUAAGAGCCUCUGCACAGCUAGGUAUAGAAUACAAAGGCAAGGUGCCCUGGGCAUUUUAUGCUUAAGUCUGGAAAAAAAAGUCACCACCACCACAAACCCCACCAUCUCCACUGAGACACAACACACUCCACUCCACUGAGAUUUCAGCAAAUAUUGUCUUAAGGUCACAAUGUCUUUUUUCAUUCUUCAAGAUUAUAGUAUCUUAAACAUACUUUCUGUGUAUAUUACAUCAUAAUUCUAAUUAGAGUCAUGAUGACUAGAAAGUUCUUGAGAAAUAAUCUGAUUCAUUCUUUGCCUUUGGGGAGGAUUAAAAUCCUCACAGACUUUUUUAAAGUGAGUGUGAACCAGCUUACACUGUUGUUAUAAUGUCUUUGGUCUGGAAUAAUACACGGAUGUCUACCAAAACACCAGGAGAUAGGUUAAAAGAAAUAAACCUUAUGGUAAUAUUAGUAGGUAACAAAUGGUCAACAGUUGUAGCCAGUGAAAGUCAGUCUCCUAUUGAGGGAUGUAUUUCUAUCCCCCUUGCACAGUAUGUGGGAUGUGUGGCCCUACUCUCUCUUGUCCACAAGAUGGCAUCAUUCUCCCACAUUCUGAGACAUUUAAACUAGUUUAACAAGUGAUUACUGUAGCUACCAUACUCGAUAUACUGAGAGUUCACAAACAUACACAACAGUAGCCUUAUUCCAAAGGCACUGGACUAAUUUAUAUUGCAUUUUAGGAAGUGAUCUUGGCGGUUUCAAGCGAAGCCCUAAGGAGGAGGCUCCUGAAGUCCCACAGUCCUUUUCAGAGUCGAAGACUAGAAAGCCAGGAAUCCUUACUCCUGGUCAACCGCCAGGGUAGCAAGUGGGGGAAAAUCCCAUAUCCUUGGCGCUUCCAGAAUGUAAGCGCUCUGAAGCCAAGCAGGGCGUAAUGCCUUCUGCUGACUCACAGGGCACCAGGAUUAAAAAAAUCAGGAGCAAACAGUCAAGCCCAUAAAAUCAAGGAGUUAAAAUGAGUACGUACAAUAGAAGUGUGAGCAUCUCUCACAAAAUCUUACAGCACUCAGCUUUUAAAUGUGCAUUGUGGCGGGAGUGAUAGGAGGGAGAUGGGCAAUUUUCCAUUUUACAACGUGUGACAAUUAGGAAAUGGACUGUGUUGUACACAGGGUGGUUAUCUCUUCACGCUUCAACCUAGUCUGUGGGGUCCUCCAAAAUGGAAACAAACCAAGAGUGAUCUGUGUUGAUAAUGAUGGGGCUUAUAAGUUUAUUUCUAUAACAAGUAGGUUAAGGAAAAAGGGGAGGGUAACACAGACACUUGCUUUUUCUAUUACUGUAUAAAAAUCAAGUAUAGAUAUAAAGAUUCUAUCUUGGAUCAGUGCUAGAUUUACCUCCCAUUUGGUUCCUAGACAGGUUCUAUCAGAACUAAGAAAUAGUUUCAUGAAAAACCUUCUAACUUAUUUCUGAAAAUGCUCCAGGAAUCAUGAAGUAGCAUCUACUUGAAGAGAGAUGCUACUAUAGACCCUUGUCUAAUCCAGAAAGCUCACCCUGCAUUUGAAGCAUCCUUCUUGAUACAUCCAAAUCUGAUCAUCAGCACCGACAUCCUCCAUGGCCUGUAUUCUGAGAAGCUUCAGAUCCUCUAAGUUUCCAUUGGUUGACAUGAAUAACCCUGUUGCUUUGUUUCGAAGUCUGAAAUAAAUUCGUUUCUAGAAGACAAAACCCCAGCAAUAGUCAUAUACAAGCUGUACUUCAGAAGCACUGAACAAGUAUCAGUAGCAGGGGCAGGAUCCCAGAUGAGGCUGGAUACGGGAAAACUGCUGCAUCUGAGAGUUUCAGAGGCUUUAGGAUUUUCUCGAUGAGGAGAGGUUGACAGAAUUCCAAAGUGCCUGGGGCUGGGAGCCUGCCUAUGGACAACCCAGGGCUUGGGACAUACCAGGUUUUUUGUUUGUUUGUUUGUUUUGUUUAUUUUACAGUAUGCGGGCAUCUCACUGUUGUGGCCUCUCCCAUUGUGGAGCACAGGCUCGGGACGCGCAGGCUCAGCGGCCAUGGCUCACGGGCCCAGCCGCUCCGCGGCAUGUGGGAUCUUCCCGGACUGGGGCACGAACCCGUGUCCCCUGCAUCGGCAGGCGGACUCUCAACCACGGCGCCACCAGGGAAGCCCCAUACCAGGUUUUGAUGUCAGGUGUAAUAACAUUUCUGAAAGCAGUCACAACCUUCUGGCACCAGAGACACAGCCGAAAUUCAGAAAUUCUCGGGGGUGGGGUGGGGGAGAAGCCAAUUUCACACUUAAAAUUGAAACUAAAAAGUUAAUUACAUUUACAAAAAAGAUUUCAGAGAAGAGUCUAUUCAAAGCAUGUAAAAGAAGAAAGUACCUGAACAAAAGGUCGUAGAGAACCUAUUUGGUGACAGCCACUGAAUUCAUACCAAUUAGGUACUUCUGCUGGUGACAAUAGGAACUGUCGACCCCUGUAAUUGCCAUAUUCAUAAGUAACCCAUCUGGAAAACAAAAAGAGAUAACCACAGUAAGUAGCAAUAUCCAUUUCACAGUGGGCACCAAUUAUAUUUUCAGAACACUUUGAUUUUUAGACUGAGCUUUUUAUUUUUAAUUUAUUUUUGGCUGCGUUGGGUCUUCAUUGCUGUACUUGGGCUUUCUCUAGUUGCGGUGAGUGGGGGCUACUCUUCAUUGCGGUGCACGGACUUCUCAUUGUGGUGGCUUCUCUUGUUGCAGCAUGCGGGCUUCAGCAGUUGUGGCUCAUGGGCUGUAGAGCGCAGGCUCAGUAGUUGUGGCACAUGGGCUUAGUUGCUCCAUGGCACGUGGGAUCUUCCUGGACCAGGGCUCAAACCCGUGUCCCCUGCAUUGGCAGGCGGAUUCUUAACCACUGCGCCACCAGGGAAGUACCUAGACCGAGCUUUUUAUACUUUAAAUAUACGUUGGAGGAUAAAAAAAGGAAACUACCUUAUUAUCAGAAACAGCUACAGCACCCAUGUCUUGACAAAUAGCAAAUUCAUGGUACAUGAGUAUUUAUGCCCAAAAGUUCCACUCUUGAAGAGAAAUAGGUAAGUUUUUUCUUCAAUAAGGUAAUAACUAGAGAUAGUCUUUUAGCAGGACAGCCCAGUACUUCCUGUGAACUUUACAUAAAACAUCUUCAGUUGUAGUAACAGACCUUUAUUUAAAUGGUUAAUACUUGUAAAGUUCUUACACAGGGUGCUAUAUAAGGGUUAGAUAAAAAUAAAUAAUAAAGUUUUAUUUAAAAUGAGAGUAAUCUUCCUCAAUCCAGAAAACUACUAAAGAUGCUCAGGUCUCUUCCACACAGAGAUGCUGGUACCCACACCUGAAGUCUGGGUUCCAGCGCAGACCAGCAUGCAAGCAACACAGCAAUCUUUCUCUCUGGUUGAUGUAUUACAUCAAGGUUCUCUGUUUUUAACCCUGCAACUCUAAAAUGUUAUCAUCGUAGUCAUUUUAUCAUAAAAACAAAAUAUUAGUUUAAACCUGUUGGAAAAAAAAGUCAUGCAUAAAAUUCUAUCAAUCACCCUAAUAAUCCGAAUUUGUUUUUUAAAUAGCUAGAGUCCUCUCCACCAUUUGAUGCCUUCAAACUAUACCUGCUGUUCUGGUGAGUGAAAGAAAAAUACUUUUGUAAAAACACAUUACAUUGAUAGUCCUUAUUCAUUUUUACAUCUUAAUUUCAAAAUUAUUCAAAGUUGAGAAAAAUCUUCCCAUGUUGACAUUAAGUCAUUUUGCCUAUAACAUCUGCUAGUCACUCCUAGCUGAAGGAAAAUCCCAACCCUUACUCCAAAAUCAAAGGACUUGGUCUUUCAAAAGGAUAAGCAAAAUCAGUUAUCUUUCCUACUUGCUAAGGAAGUGCUCAAUUUAUUGCAAAGCAUUCGCCUAGGAACUUUGAGAGUCCUUAUCUUAAGUAAACUAAAAAUCUGGAUGAAGAGAUGAUGUCCCACACAUGGCUCUUCCCAAUAGGAAAAGUAUACUGUGAGGGAACAUAAAUAUUAACCCUUACAGAAAAAAAGGGGUUAUACGUCAAUUUGGUUAAGGUAACAGAGAAGAGAAAUAUGAUCAAACUUAAUUUUUAAAAUCUAUUUUAUUGAAUAAACAAGUAGGUAACUCACUUACAUGCCACCAAUCACCUGAACAGAGCGUAUGCGCGUGUUGAAUCCUAGGGAUUGGAGAUUAACUAUUUCUGUACUAAAUUCAAUCUUUUUUCCUUUGAAGUCUUCUCUUUCAAAAAGAAUAAUUGUUGGUUCAGACAAUUCCUGUUUAGGAACAAAAAUAAUAUUCUGUUACUCAUCCUUGAUACUAAUUCGAACUUAACAUGAAAAUCACCUUGUUACAAGGACAAAGCAGAAGAUCUGGCUGGACUUGGCCUGCUCAUAAACUCCCUUUUCCAGCAACGUCUGGGUGGUUAUAUACUCCAAAGCUAAAGCAAGGAAGGAUGGAGGGCAGAAAGUUUUUCCCUUAGUAGAAAGGCAGGUAAAUAUAAAGUAUUAUAAAACGGGGCAAAUAUCCCAGGCAUAAAGGAACAGGUAUAUAUGCCUGGAAUAUCAAUUCUAAUGGACUUUAUUUUCAACUUUUCUGUUUUCUAUUGAGAUAAGAAGGGGCUGGAAAGUCAAAGACAUAAAUGGCGAGGGUCGGGGGCUGUGGUGAUCUUUGGGGGUCUAGUGGUAAUCUGCCUAAUAAAGGAAGCUUCCCCUUGUAUGCAUUUUCAGAUGUCUUUUUUUUGUUGCUUUUAACUGUCAAUAAGACAAUGAUUCUGUGUAUUCCCAAACUUUCCUGUAGGAAUAAUUGUUAGGAGAGAAAAAAUAGGAUGGAAGCCCCAAGUUCAAGUCCACUGAUUUUCAGAAAAAUGAGAAGUUGGCAGCUUAUGCUUGUUUUUCAGAUUACAGACCCUUAUGACCCUAGACUAAGCUCUGAUGAUGAUAAUCCUAAAAUCAUAAAUGAUACAUGAAAAAUUCCCUAACUUGCUUAAAGUUUUGUGACACCUUACUGCUUCAUUUAUGUGGAUGUGCUCUGAUGUGUAGAAAGAUCUUGACCAAUAAACAGAGCAGAUCAGUGUGUAGACGUGUUCUAUAUGGUCUAGAAAUUAGGUUAUAUAAACCAUACAAGAAGGAAAUGACAGAAACUGUAGUAGUAUUGCUACUUUGCACGUUCACUGCACUUUUCUGAGAUGGCAUGCUAAAACGUUCCAAGCACUCUAAUCUAGCGACAACAACCAAACGAUUUUGAAGUACUAAGUCACAAUUAAAAUAUACAUUCUGAAUAUGGGUAAAAUAUUCAUUUCAUCAUAAUCAAAACUUAAAAGAACAUCAUCUGUAAAUGUCAAAAGUGAUGUGAGCAUAUAUGCUAAGUUCUGCUUGAAGGAAGGCAUUUGAAAGCUUUAAAUCUAAAGUGGGUUUGUUUUUUUUUUAAAUACUUGUAGGUUGCUUUUAGAAUUCUAAGCAGGUUAAAUAUCAAAUUUUUAGAUAUUUUAUUAUUUGUAAGCUAAUGAAUCUUACCACAUCAUUUUAUGUUUCACUGCUACUAUUUUCACAUCUCAAGGAAGGUCAACAUUUUCGUUAUUUGAACGGGCAGGAGGGGAUGAGAAAAAGCCAACUCACAUAUGUUCCUUCUACCUUUAAAGCUAAAAUCACCAACUACAUAUGUUUAAAGCUACCAAAAACUAACAAAUACUUCCCAAACUGUCAGAUACACCCAGACUUUAACAUCUGAACAUUAUCUUGCAGUAUUGUUCUAUCGAAUAUUGCUUUGUCUGCAUUAAUAUUAAAGAUCUCUGGUCAAAAAGGAGCACUAUAAUCUGGAUUGGCACAUACAUGAGAAACUGAGAAAAGUCAUUUCAUUGCAAAUCUCUAAAACAACAGAGGAAUAGAUUUAAAAACUAUAAGGAAUUUCUGCAAAUCAAUAACAACAAUGACGGGAAACUAAAGAGCUGGGCAAAGGAUAUAAAUAGGCAAUUCACUGAACAGAAAACCUAAAUGACUAGUACGUAUAUGAGAUCUCACCAACAGUGAAAUGCAAACUAACACAACUUCUACCCCAUUCUUUCAAACUGACAAAAGUUAGAAUGUCAGAGAAUACUCAAUAAUGGCCAUGAUGCUGAAAACGAAUCCACAUGCACUGCCAGCAACAGUGUAAAGUGGUGGAAUUUGGCAGUACUUACUGAAGGUUGCAUAUUCACGCAUGUGAGAUCCAGUAAAUCCACUCUUUGUUUUUGGCUGCACUGGGUCUUCGUUGCUGCCCACAGGCUUUCUCUAGUUGCGGCAAGCGGGGGCCACUCUUCAUUGUGGUGGGCGGGUUUCUCAUUGCGGUGUCUUCUCUUGUUGCAGAGCACAGGCUCUAGGUGCGCGGGCUCUAGAGCACAGGCUUAGGAGUUGUGGCGCACGGGCUUAGUUGCUCUGCGGCAUGUGGGAUCUUCCCGGACCAGGGCUCGAACCCGUGUCCCCUGCACUGGCAGGCAGAUUCUUAACCACUGUGCCACCAGGGAAGUCCCAAUCCACUUUUUAAUACGUAUCCCCAAAAGAUCACAGGGUAAUCCAUUAUGCUGUAUGUACAUCUAGUUAAUGAUUCCAUAUUGUAAACACAUAUUACAUCAUGGGCACCCAUUAGAAUCAAUAACUAGAUGUACAUACAGCAUAACGGAUGGCUCCCAAAAAAUUUCAUGUAAGGAGAGAUGAGAACUAUAGCAUAAUACUGUAUAUAAAUUAAAAGGCUGUAUACAUAUUUUUAAAAACAUGUAUUUUACAGGAAUAUCCAAGCUGUACUCCAAACACAUUAGAAUGGGUACCUCUAAAGGUAGAGGUAUAGAAAUAGGGCUCAGGGGGACUUCCCUGGUGGUCCAGUGGUAAAGAAUCUGCCUUACAAUGCCGGGGACACGGGUUCAAUCCCUGGUCGGGGAACUAAGAUCCCACAUGGCGCGGGGCAGCUAAGCCAGCGCCCUGAAACUACUGAGCUCGGGCGCCUCGAUGAGAGAGCCCGAGUGCCGCAAACUACAGAGCCCAUGCGCCCUGGAGCCUGCACGCCACAACAAAAGAUCCCGCAUGCCUCAACAAAGAUCCUGCAACUAAGACCCGAUGCAGCCAUAAAUAAAUAAAUUAAUUAAUAAUAAAUAAAUAAAUCUUAAAAAAAGAAAUAGGGCUCAGGUGUGAAACGGAAAAAAACAAGACGGAAGGGCCUUGAACUAGCCCAUGAUUGUGCACUGUGCACCAUGACUGACCCAACACUGCCCCUGAAGUCUGAGAAAACAGCAAACAGUUUACAUUUUAAAGAUCUGGAAAGAGACCAGGGUAGAAAGUUGUCCACGAAACUAUUUUUUCUGCCUCCAACUCUGUCCUGAGUAAGCCUGCCUGCUGGUUCCCUUGCUCUGUCUGUCAGCUGUGUGACCAUACAUCUCUGUAACGCUAUAUUCACCCUGAGAUACUUACGACAUCUAUAAAACGAACAGACUUGAAAGUUGCUUCAGGCAGACAUCCCAUUGCAGACAGCGAAGGAUAGUGGCCUUCCUCCAACACGUACUGAUUACCCGAGAAAUUUUCUCCGUCAUAUGCAACCCAGCUAUAGAGGAAAAACCACACACACACACGUAUAAAGUGUAAUUUGAGUCUUCCUAGUCAAGGAGUCUGAAUUUAGAGGUAGCUGCCAUACAAUAAACACAACGCUUAUGGCUAACAGUGUUCUCUCUGCAAAAAUGUCUGGAUAUGUUUACUGCAUUUCAUCUUGUGGCAACCUAAUAUUCGUAAGUCAUUUGGGAAAUACAACUUUUUUCUCCAUGAAAUGAUUAAUGCUUUCACCUCUCCACCUACCAGCAUUCCUUGCACCUCUCAUGGUGCCACCAUUCUCCCAGCCAAGGUGGUUCUGUCAAGCCCUUGAGUCUUCGAGUCUUUUCUGAACACUCCUUCAACCUUCAGAGCUAGUCAGUCACCUGGGUCUACUGCUUCCUCCCCAGAUUUCUCCCUCACCCCUUUAUCCUCAUUUCCAACACCUCUGCACUGGGCCGGGAGUCAAGAUACCACAGUGACUUAGACAAGUCACUUAGUCUCUCUAGCACUCAGCAUUACUGACAAAAUGGUGACUUAUCAUGCUUCCCUAGAGGAGGUGGGGGUCUUUUUGUUUUGUUUUUGUUUAACCCAACACAUACUUAUUGAGGAAUAACUGUGUGUCAGGUAUUUUUCCAUUGCUGGGGAUAUAACAAGACAAAGUCCCUGGUAUCUUGAAGUUUAUACCCUAGUGAGCUGAGACAGACAAUAAAUGAAUAACAAAAAAGUACAUGCCUGGUAGUAAUAAAUGAAGCAGCAUAUGGGACAAAGAAAAACUAGGACAGAGGUGCAGGUAUGUGCUAAUAAACAGUGAAGCUUUAUAUAAAUCUAUGCAUUUGAAUGCAAAGCCGGUGCUCUUUCCACUUUGCAUUGCCAAAUGGCAUGAUGGUGCUGUUUAGCCCAUGAAGAACUAUACGAUUAAAGGCAUUACUACUACUACUACUGCUACUACUACUUCUUAUUAUUCAACUUAAUUCAUCACCUUUUGCACAGAUUGCUCCAAGGGUUUCCUGAUCCGUUUCCCUGACUUUGAGCUCCUUGCCUUGCCCAUCUUGUGUUUUCCUUUGGCAUCCAUCCAAAUUCAUAUGCUCAGAAGAGUCAUCACCUGAGCCCACCCUCCCUGUCCAAACUCACUUCCCCUCCCCCCUGUACAAAGCCCUCCCAGCUAGAGAGGGUGGUGUGCCCCUCAUCAGCAUCUCCACCCCAACCAUGCACUUGCCUAUCAUGCAGAAUGCCUGCCCUACUCCUACCCACCUGUAAAAAAAAAUCUAUCUUGGGAGGUCCUUAGAGAUGAUCUAAAGUCCCUUUACAGAUGACGGGAGAGGCCUAGAGAGCAGAGAACCUGGUCUGAGUCCCAUUGCACAACGAGGUGGUGAUCUUCAACUUCUCCCACCCACACUGAUGUCCAUGUACUCUGCCGCCCAGCACUCAGUGCUCUAAGUCCACUUCAGUACUCACAUGGUCUUGUACUAUGUGGUGGUCUCAUAAGGUACCAGGCUCCUACAAGUGUAUUUACUUGCUGAUACGUGAAUCCUGUUUUCCCCCACGGGUUGGGCUCUGCCAGUCCACUGUUUUGCUUACCUGCCUCCUAAAACUCUGCAAGACUUGGCAGAAAAUGACUCAUCAAUUUGACUUGUUGUUUCUUCAAAACACUGACUGCGACCUUGAAACUGUGGUUCCGAAAACAAGUGAAUCUUUGAAAAAGUAAACAGAAAUACAUAAAAUUCUUUUCCUAAACACAUUAACUCAUUCAGCCUCUGAAAUGAUAACCAGACAUGACCUGCUAACUUUUGUUACUGUAAACUGGUAUGAAUUUUAUAAAACCUUUAAUUUUUUACUUCUACAUUAAUGAUCAAUUAGAAAUACUUUGGCUGCACCAAUCGUGAUUGUUUAAUUUCAUUCAGAGACAUCAAAGGAUAGUCCAACAAUAGAGGCAGCUUUCUACAGAACACCCUCUUGUAACAAGCUGCCAGGCAUUUUAAAGCUUUACUGUGGCCAAAAGUAAUUGUUCACAGUUCUAACAUUUACAAGAAACUAUAUUUUGGAAACAUGUAGUGCAGUUUUCCUCCCUCUCAAUGGAAGCUACCUGCUGACUUAUUAGACUCUUUUGUAUGCCAAUAAAGGAGGCUACAGUGGUGUUUGUGCCUCUGUAAUUAUGGCUCUCUGAACACUUCCAUUAAAAAGUCUUUAACAAAUUUAACACUUCAGUUGAUACAGAGAGUCAGCAUUCAAAAGGCUUAAGUGAGACACCAUAUAAAAGACACUAUAUAAAAAGCCUAAUGCAGACACAGCAAAUACGAAAAUUCAUUUUACUGUUUUCCACAAUAACUCUACGCUAUUGUUUGAAAUACUAGUCCUAGUGUAUUAAUGUAAAACUCUGAUCCACUGUAAUGAUAUAAAAAUUUAACUUUACAUAAGAACAUUUUAUAAGAAAUAUUUAGAUAUGGGUCAGUGCUAUCAAUUAAGCCUUACUGUAAACUUAAUUUUAAAAUACAGUUAUGCUUUCAGGCACAAAAAUGGGUAAAACUAACAAUAUGUUCCCAAAUGUAUGAUGUUUUACACAUAAAUUCAGCUUUUUAACAGAAGGUUUCUAAUUAUGAAUGAUAGAAUGUUAAGUUACCUGAUUUUGUCUCCCUGGUCUGGUGAAAGAAUCCUAAGAAUUUUUAAAGAGAAGAGAAAAGGAAGUGAGUGGGGCAGACAUCUUGCAAAUUGUUCUGUGGGUCAUUGACAAUUACCAUUAAAAAUCAUCUCAGGAUAGUUUCUAUAGUUAAGUAUUACAUGAACCAGAAGCACACAUUAAGGGAAUCCAAAAUUCAGUUAAAUAUUCUCAGAGAAAAAUGUAACUCCUUACCAAACAUAUGGGUUGAACAGAAGAGAUCUUACAAUUUUUGCCUCCCCAGUCCUCAAAGCUGGUAUAAAAGCCUUUAUCCAGUAUAUACUGUUCUCCUGUGAAGUCAGGAUUUUCAUAGGCCACCCAUCUAAGGAAACAAAAAACACUGACUUGUUAUAGUUCAUAGUUUACAUUCACAAUAAAACUAUCACACCCAGGGCUUCCCUGGUGGCGCAGUGGUUGAGAAUCUAUCUGCCUGCCAAUGCAGGGGACACGGGUUCGAGCCCUGGUCUGGGAAGAUCCCACAUGCCGCGGAGCAACUGGGCCCGUGAGCCACAACUACUGAGCCUGCGCGUCUGGAGCCUGUGCUCCACAGAGAACAAGAGAGGCAGCGAUAGUGAGAGGCCCGCACACGGCAAUGAAGAGUGGCCCCAGCUUGCCACAACUAGAGAAAGCCCUCGCACAGAAACGAAGACCCAACACAGCCAUAAAUAAAUAAAUUAAUUUUAAAAAAUUAAAAAAAAAAAA